CUCACACCCAAGGAGACAUAGAGAACCAUUUGGUUCUUUAAGGCACUAUCCAUCAACAAGUAAACAAUAAAAGAAAUAAAAUUUUCAUAGGACAGAACCAGAAAGUUCUAAGGAGAUCUGACAUUGCUAAAGCUCAAAGUGUCAAACUAUGGAUCCUUCUCAGAAUCUUAAUCCGAAAGGGUACCAGAGACAAAGACCGUUUAGCUCAGCCGGCGAAGGCGGCAGCAGCGGCGGCUCCGGUAUGCCUCAAGAAACAGAUGACAAUAAGAAGCAGAAGAAGCUUCUCCACCGCGACAUCGAACGCCAAAGAAGACAAGAAAUGGCUACACUCUUCGCUGCUCUUCGUACUCACCUACCUCUCCAAUACAUCAAGGGAAAAAGAGCUGUUUCGGAUCAUGUUAACGGAGCGGUGAAUUUCAUUAAGGACACGGAAACACGGAUUAAGGAACUCAGUGCAAGAAGAGACGAACUCAUUAAAGAAACGGGUCAGAAAUAUCAAUCGAAUCCGGAUCCAGCAAGAACUGAAUCCGAUUUGCCUAAAUCGGAUCCGGCGACUGUGAUGGUGCAACCACACGUGAGCGGCUUAGAAGUGGUGGUGAGCAGCAACUCCUCAGGUCCCGAAGCUUUGCUCCUCUCAAGAGUGCUUGAGACACUUCAAGAGAAAGGGCUUGAAGUCGUCAGCUCUCUCACGACAAGAGUCAAUGAGAGGCUCAUGCACACUAUUCAAGUUGAGGUUAAUAGUUUCGGAUGCAUCGACUUAGCUUGGUUGCAGGAGAAGCUAGUUGAGGAUUUGAUACUUUCAACAGGGUACUGAUCAUCAGAAACAUAGCAUUCGUAGUCCUAAAGACCUUCUUCAUAUCGUAUGAUCUCUUUUACCCGAGGUCUUUGUUUCGUUAUAUUAAGAAAUAUCUAAGUCUUCUUGAAGUUUCAUCUUGAGAGCAAGGAAGGUAGGUUCAUUUGUGGAUUGAGGUGUAGCUUUGGUUUAAACAAGUUCAAGUGCGUACUAUGCUGUUAUAUUUCAAACGGAUAUUAUGGGCGGGUCAAAACUUCACCAUCAUUCACCGCCACGCAGUAAAAGACCAAGGGUGUGAUGUUUUCAAUAUACCAUUAUUUUUUCACAAGCAAGUCAAUUUUUUGUUUCCCUUGUAACAUUUUUUCUUAUUCCGUUGGUUAUUAUGUUUAAUUUCUUGUGGUUUGUUUUAGUAUGGAAAUCAAGUUUUAACCAACGUAUAUGUAUAUCCAUAAAUCAUUAAAAGUUAUAUUCGAAGGGAACUAAGAAA